rnacentral:rRNA from 1 species
AACGCUGGCGGCGUGCUUAACACACGCAAGUCGAACGAUGACCCGGUGCUUGCAUCGGUGAUUAGUGGCGAACGGGUGAGUAACACGUGAGUAACCUGCCCUUAACUCUGGGAUAAGCCUGGGAAACUGGGUCUAAUACCCGGAUACGACUCCUCAUCGCAUGGUGGGGGGGUGGAAAGCUUUUUUGUGGUUUUGGAUGGACUCGCCGGCCUAUCAGCUUGUUGGUGAGGUAAUGGCUUACCAAGGCGACGACGGGUAGCCGGCCUGAGAGGGUGACCGGCCACACUGGGACUGAGACACGGCCCAGACUCCUACGGGAGGCAGCAGUGGGGAAUAUUGCACAAUGGGCGGAAGCCUGAUGCAGCGACGCCGCGUGAGGGAUGACGGCCUUCGGGUUGUAAACCUCUUUCAGUAGGGAAGAAGCGUAAGUGACGGUACCUGCAGAAGAAGCGUCCGGCUAACUACGUGCCAGCAGCCGCGGUAAUACGUAGGGCGCAAGCGUUUGUCCGGAAUUAUUGGGCGUAAAGAGCUCGUAGGCGGUUUGUUCGCGUCUGCCGUGAAAGUCCCGGGGCUCAACUCCGGAUCUGCGGGUGGGUACGGGCAGACUAGAAGUGAUGUAGGGGAGACUUGGAAUUCCUGGUGUAGCGGUGAAAUGCGCAGAUAUCAGGAGGAACACCGAUGGCGAAGGCGGGUCUCUGGGCAUUAACUGACGCUGAGGAGCGAAAGCAUGGGGAACGAACAGGAUUAGAUACCCUGGUAGUCCAUGCCGUAAACGUUGGGCACUAGGUGGGGUAAAGUUCCACGUUUCCCGCUCCGUACACUAACGCCCCCUUUAGGGGGCUGGCCCAGUACGCCAUCAGGCGAAGG